rnacentral:rRNA from 1 species
UACGGAGGGUGCGAGCGUUGUCCGGAAUCACUGGGCGUAAAGGGCGCGUAGGCGGCGCGGGCAGUCAACGGUGAAAGCUCGGGGCUCAACUCCGAGUCGGCCGUCGAUACUCCCGCGCUCGAGCACUGUAGAGGCAGGUGGAAUUCCGGGUGUAGCGGUGGAAUGCGUAGAGAUCCGGAAGAACACCGGUGGCGAAGGCGGCCUGCUGGGCA